AUGGAUUUCGACAGGGCCAUGGCAAGCAUGGCAAGGAGUGCAGCCUUCGAUCGGUCGGGAGCCUCUGUGCCGCGCUCGGGCGGAAACCUGUCUAGCGACACCAAAGCCGUCCUCUGCCUUGGGGCAGCCGCUGCUGUGGGCUCGGCAGCGUGGAGGUACUACCAACGCCGUGCGUGCCUGCUGAAGUUCGGCCGGGACAUGACGGCAUCGGCUGGAAAAACCGAUCCGGUGAUCGGCCGCGACGACGAGAUUGACCGUGUCGUCUCCAUCCUCUGCCGCCGGACCAAGAACUGCGUCGCGCUCGUCGGCGCUGCAGGGGUAGGCAAGACGGCCGUCGCCGAGGCCCUCGCCCAACGCAUUGCCGCCAGGAUGGUCCCCGACGUUCUUGCCGGCGCGCGCGUCAUUGAGCUCGACGUCGGAGCAUUGGUGGCUGGGACCAAGUGGCGUGGCUCCUUCGAGAGACGCAUGAAGGAUGUGAUAAAGCAGGUGGAGGCCGCGGACGGCAAGGUGAUUCUGUUCAUCGACGAGAUGCACAUGCUUCUUGGUGCCGGGCGCUCCAGGAAGAGUGCCAACGAUGCUGCCAACAUGCUGAAGCCAGCAUUGGCCCGUGGCCGUAUCCGCUGCGUGGGUGCCACAACUUUCGAUGAGUACCGUAAGUACAUCGAGAAGGAUGCCGCACUGGAGCGGCGGUUCCAAAAGGUGCAGGUCGAGGAGCCGAGCAUGGACACAACCAUUGAGAUUCUGCAGGCGCUAAAGAAGCGGCACGAACGGCACCAUGGCUUGGAAAUCCAGGAUGCAGCUCUUGUUGCUGCUGCACAGCUUGCUGGCCGCUAUAUCACCGGUCGUCAGUUUCCUGACAAGGCAAUUGAUCUAAUUGACGAGGCAUGCGCCACUGCAAGCAAAAAGAUGAGGCAGAUUAACCGCCAAAAGGCGGAAGUGAACACUAAAAAAAGUAGCUCUGCAAAUGCAAGGAAGGAAGCAAUUAUCACCCCAGAUCAUGUCGCACAAGUUGUGAGCCGAUGGACUGGAAUUCCCGUCACCGCACUUAAUCAAGAGGAGAAGGAUAAGUUAAUCUGCCUAGCGGACAGACUGCAUGAGCGAGUUGUUGGCCAGGAUGAAGCCGUCAACCUAGUUGCAGAUGCAGUGUUACGUUCUAGAGCUGGCCUUGAUCAUCCUGGCCAGCCCAUAGGCUCUUUCCUCUUCUUGGGCUCAACUGGUGUUGGAAAGACAGAACUCGCAAAAGCUCUUGCCGAGCAGCUAUUUGAUAGCGAGAAGAUGUUGGUUCGCUUUGACAUGUCUGAAUAUGUCGGGAGUAGUUCUGUGUUGCGUCUCGUUGGAGCACCUCCAAGCUAUCGUGGCCAUGAGGAUGGUGGACAACUGACUGAGAAAGUUAGGAGGAACCCGUACAGUGUCAUCCUUUUUGAUGAGGUGGAGAAGGCAGAUCCCUCGGUGUUCAAUAUUUUUCUUCAAAUCCUUGAUGAUGGCAGGUUGACUGAUGGCAGAGGCCAGACUGUAGAUUUCAAGAAUACCAUCAUCAUCAUGACCUCAAAUCUUGGAUCUGAUUACCUAAUAUCAAAGACGGCUAGAAAAAACACAACCGAAUCUACACGGGAACUUCUCAUGGAACAGGUUUGCAAGCACUUCAAGCCUGAGCUUCUGAACAGACUGAGUGAGAUCGUUAUAUUUGAGCCGCUUUCGCACGACAAACUGAAGGAGAUAAUGAAAAUCCAGAUGAAGAGCAUUAUGGCCAGAGUAGCUACCAAGGGCAUCUCUCUUUCUGUUAGUGAUGCCGCGUUGGACACCAUCUUAUCGGAAUCAUACAACCCAACCUACGGUGCAAGACCCAUAAGAAGGUGGAUGCAAAAGAAUGUGAUGACAACGCUUUCCAAGAUGUUGGUCAAGGGAGAAGCCAGUGAAGGCUCAACAAUCUGCAUUGAAGUUACUGACGACAAGAAGGGUUUGAAGUAUCAAGUGGUGAAGAAGGAGGUGAGCCUAGACCAGCGCGGACUUAGCUAG
rnacentral:rRNA from 1 species